AGGGGAUCGUAAGACCUUGCGCUUUUGGAGCGGCCGAUGUCUGAUUAGCUAGUUGGUGGGGUAAUGGCCUACCAAAGCUUCGAUCAGUAGCUGGUCUGAGAGGACGGCCAGCCACACUGGGAGUGAGACACGGCCCAGACUCCUACGGGAGGCAGCAGUGGGGAAUUUUGGACAAUGGGCGCAAGCCUGAUCCAGCCAUGCCGCGUGAGUGAAGAAGGCCUUCGGGUUGUAAAGCUCUUUCAGCCGGGAAGAAAAGGCUGCGACUAAUAAUCGCAGUUCAUGACGGUACCGGAAGAAGAAGCACCGGCUAACUACGUGCCAGCAGCCGCGGUAAUACGUAGGGUGCGAGCGUUAAUCGGAAUUACUGGGCGUAAAGGGUGCGCAGGCGGUUUUGUAAGUCAGAUGUGA
rnacentral:rRNA from 1 species